UGGGGAAUAUUGCGCAAUGGGGGAAACCCUGACGCAGCAACGCCGCGUGAAGGAUGAAGGUUUUCGGAUUGUAAACUUCUUUGAUGAGGGACGAUAAUGACGGUACCUCAAAAACAAGCCACGGCUAACUACGUGCCAGCAGCCGCGGUAAUACGUAGGUGGCAAGCGUUGUCCGGAUUUACUGGGUGUAAAGGGCGCGUAGGCGGGAGAGCAAGUCAGAUGUGAAAUGUGGGGGCUUAACCCUCAAGCUGCAUUUGAAACUGUUUUUCUUGAGUAUCGGAGAGGCAGGCGGAAUUCCUAGUGUAGCGGUGAAAUGCGUAGAUAUUAGGAGGAACACCAGUGGCGAAGGCGGCCUGCUGGACGACAACUGACGCUGAGGCGCGAAAGCGUGGGGAGCAAACAGG
rnacentral:rRNA from 1 species